GCUAUCCCCAGGCGGAAACACCAAGCAGGCCAGCCUAGGACUCCCCUCAGAAGGGUCUCAGCAAAAGUCCAGCUCAGCUCCUGGCAAUGUGCGGCGUGAAGUCCGGAGGAACUGAACAGCCGGAGAGCUGGCUGCAAUGAACUUGACGAUGGCUUGCACUACAUCAGGAUGCAGAAGAUGUAGAAGAGCCUACCUAGACUUCUCAAGAAAGUUUCCUGAAAGCGAUAUUUUCCUUUGUCAUACUAGUUUCAAGGAUGCUGGUCUCAUCUCCCUACUGUGUGGCCUGUAAUCACCUCUAUCUACAGCACCACUCUCUAUGAGUCCCUUCUGUGUGCUGGACUUUGUCACCGUCUGGGUCACAGUGGUGAUUCCCAGCAGUGAAGGGGUGGGGUGUCUGGAGCCUUUGUAUAAACACAGUAGUCUGCUGGGAGCAUUGAUGAUUAUUGUUGAUGACGAGGAGAAAAAAAUGAAGUUAACCAUUUGUUUAA
rnacentral:lncRNA from 1 species